UACGGAAGGCAGCAGUGGGGAAUAUUGCACAAUGGGCGAAAGCCUGAUGCAGCUAUGCCGCGUGUAUGAAGAAGGCCUUAGGGUUGUAAAGUACUUUCAUCGGGGAGGAAAAAACAAAACUAAUAAUUUUAUUUCUUGACGUUACCCGAAAAAGAAGCACCGGCUAACUCCGUGCCAGCAGCCGCGGUAAUACGGAGGGUGCUAGCGUUAAUCAGAAUUACUGGGCGUAAAGAGCACGUAGGUGGUUUUUUUAAGUCAGAUGUGAAAUCCCUGGGCUUAACCUAGGAACUGCAUUUUGAAACUGAAAUACUAGAGUAUCGUAGAGGGAGGUAGAAUUCUAGGUGUAGCGGUGAAAUGCGUAGAUAUCUGGAGGAAUACCUGUGGCGAAAGCGGCCUCCUAAACGAAUACUGACACUGAGGUGCGAAAGCGUGGGGAGCAAACAGGGAUAGAUA
rnacentral:rRNA from 1 species